GAUGAAGAACGUAGCGAAAUGCGAUACGUAAUGUGAAUUGCAGAAUUCAGUGAAUCAUCGAGUCUUUGAACGCACAUUGCGCCCCCUGGUAUUCCGGGGGGCAUGCCUGUUCGAGCGUCAUUAUAACCACUCAAGCUCUUGCUUGGUAUUGGGGUUCGCGGUUUCGCGGCCCCUAAAAUCAGUGGCGGUGCCUGUCGGCUCUACGCGUAGUAAUACUCCUCGCGAUUGAGUCCGGUAGGUCUACUUGCCAGCAACCCCUAAUUUUUUUUAAGGUUGACCUCGGAUCAGGUAGGGAUACCCGCUGAACUUAAGCAUAUCAAUAAGCGGAGGA
rnacentral:misc_RNA from 1 species